AAUUAAAACAAUAUGGCUACUGGAAGGCAAACAUUGAAUAUUAUUCUAUCAGGUUCUUAUGGUUUUAGAUCAUUUUAGUUGUUGUACAAAGAUUAAUUUAACAUUUUCUCUGGAAGUAUUAAUUUAGAAAGAUAAUAUGCCUCAUUGGUGUUGUGUUUUGAAGUGUGAAAUGCAAAGUAAUCGUGAUAAAGUUAGCUUUUACCACUUACCAUCAGUGCUACAUUCUAAGCACAAAACUGAACCAAUUUAACUAAAUAAGUUAUAGUUAUCAUCUGAGAGACAACAACAAUGGUAAAAUGCAAUAAAAUAUAAAGAUUUUACUAGCAAAAUGGAAAUUCCCCUGUAAUCAUCUUAUAUCUGGAAAACCAGCCGACUUAACUGAUAAUAACAAUCCAGAUUGGGUUCCUUCAAUAAAUAUGGGGUAUAUAAACACAAUGAAAUGAGUUCCCCAAAAUCUAAAAUGGGAAUUAAGGUACCAAAGGAGAAUUAAAAGAAAAGGGUACCUACAAGAAAAAA
rnacentral:lncRNA from 1 species